CUGUACACACAGUACACACUGAGUACUACACACUGUACACACAGUACACACAUUACACACUGAGUACUACACACUGUACACACAGUACACACUGAGUACUACACACUGUACACACAGUACACACAGUACACACUGAGUACUACACACUGUACACACAGUACACACAGUACACACUGAGUACUACACACUGUACACACAGUACACACAGUACACACUGAGUACUACACACUGAGUACUACACACUGAGUACUACACACUGUACACACAGUACACACUGAGUACUACAGUUACCUGUCUAAGGUGUGUGCAGUUACCUGUCUAAGGUGCAGUUACCUGUCUAAGGUGUGUGCAGUUACUUGUCUAUGGUGCAGUUACCUGUCUAAGGUGUGUGCAGUUACCUGUCUAAGGUGCAGUUACUUGUCUAUGGUGCAGUUACCUGUCUAAGGUGUGUGCAGUUACCUGUCUACGGUGCAGUUACUUGUCUAUGGUGCAGUUACCUGUCUAAGGUGUGUGCAGUUACCUGUCU